CUCUCGAAUUUUCUGAUAUUGUGCCCACUGCGACCGUAUAAAUAUAUGUCUUGCCCUACUAAUACACUUGCUCUUCGUCGUUCCUACUACUAUAGCCGUUCCACCGGAUAUUUUCAAUUUCGGGCCAAAUAUCAUUCGUAAGAUUUUCAUCUAGAAUAAUGUUAUUUUUUGUAGUUAUUCGUGUCUCACUCGCACAUAGUUACUGGACAUGCCAGACUUUAAUUUUUAUAACGCCUCGUUAAGUUCUAACCUGGUAUUAUUUCGAAAAAUGGACACACAUAAUACAUUUCCCCUUUCGUUUACUCCCC